rnacentral:rRNA from 1 species
GACGUAGGGUGCGAGCGUUGUCCGGAUUUAUUGGGCGUAAAGAGCUCGUAGGCGGCUCGUCGCGUCGACCGUGAAAACCCGCGGCUUAACUGCGGGCUUGCGGUUGAUACGGGCGGGCUAGAGUUCGGUAGGGGAGACUGGAAUUCCUGGUGUAGCGGUGAAAUGCGCAGAUAUCAGGAGGAACACCAGUGGCGAAGGCGGCACUCUGGGCCGGAACUGACGCUGAGGAGCGAAAGCGUGGGGAGCGAACAGG